CUCAAAACUGACUUUUUCGGAACGAUACCCACGAUUUCUCAGGUUCUACUGGACCGAUUUACUUGAAAUUUUUAUAGAGUCUUCUUUAUAGGCUUGUCUAUGGUUGGAACUAGCCCCAUUCCCAAA